rnacentral:rRNA from 1 species
GGUUAAGCGACCAAGCGUACACGGUGGAUGCCCUGGCAGUCAGAGGCGAUGAAGGACGUGCUAAUCUGCGAUAAGCGCCGGUAAGGUGAUAUGAACCGUUAUAACCGGCGAUGUCCGAAUGGGGAAACCCGGUGCACUACGGUGCAUCAUCGUUUGAUGAAUACAUAGUCAAACGAGGCGAACCGGGGGAACUGAAACAUCUAAGUACCCCGAGGAAAAGAAAUCAACCGAGAUUCCCCCAGUAGCGGCGAGCGAACGGGGAGGAGCCCAGAGCCUGAAUCAGCAUGUGUGUUAGUGGAAGCGUCUGGAAAGGCGCGCGAUACAGGGUGACAGCCCCGUACACAAAAGCGCAUGUGCAGUGAGCUCGAAGAGUAGGGCGGGACACGUGGUAUCCUGUCUGAAUAUGGGGGGACCAUCCUCCAAGGCUAAAUACUCCUGACUGACCGAUAGUGAACCAGUACCGUGAGGGAAAGGCGAAAAGAACCCCGGCGAGGGGAGUGAAACAGAACC